GUCUCUGUGUGGCUCCAUCAGCUGAGGUCAGCAUUAAUGAAGACUGCAGAAGCAUCAACAGCUAAAGUUUCAGGUGUUUGUGGCAGUGGCAUUGGCAAAGUGGACUGUUAGGGUCCUCAGUAGCAAAGACUCUUGGAGUCCUCUCGCCCUCCUUUUCCCUACUGGGGGGAAACCAAGCCAAGAGGAUCCCUUUUGGUGUCAAGUCUAAUGUGGACUGCAGGCAGCCACAGUGGCACUAGGUUCCAGGAUACAGGUGCUCAGAGCCACUGCAGAGCUGGCUUCCUGGGCUCAGGCACUUGUGAACUGCCAUGGCACCUGGGUCCUGGAGAGCAAAUUGAUGUACCAAGGCAUUGGCAUGCACUUAUCACCCAUGUUGCCAGGGUCUAGGACUUUGGAGCUUAUUUCAGUGCCACAGCAGCUCAGGUCUUAAGUCAUGGGACAGCACAGCGUGACUCUAAUUCCUGGGAGGCAGGUGGUAAAGCAACUCAAGCUCCUGGGUGUAGGUCUCAGUGCAGUGGCAACUCCAGUCUCUAGGAAGGCAAGGUGCCUCAGCAACCCACACCCUGGAGAGACAGGGCACUGUGGCAGCAAGGCUGCUGAAAAGGUAGGGCACAGUGGGGACCCAGGCUUAUGGCAGCAACCUAGGCCCAGAGAGAGUGGCGCGCUGGGCAACCCAGGCUCCAGGUGGUGGGAUGCGGUGACAGUAAGACCCUAGGCGUGUAGGGAAACAAUGGCUACUCAGGACCUAACAGCAGGGUGCAGCACAGUGGCAACUCCAAUUCCAAAAUGUCAUGAAACCACGGUAGCUCAGCUCAUGGGACAGAAGGCACAGUCUUGGCUCUUUCUCAUGGGUAAGUGUAGCAGCAUGGACUCCAGGCAGCUCCCUGUGUUGGGCUCAGGACUGGUGAAGACUGCAGGGGUAUCCAUUGGUGAGCACUGCUGGUGUCUGUGGUAAUAAUGAGGGCGACUGGGAUCUUCCUUCUCACCCUUUCCAUGCAGAAGGAAGUACCUCUUGCCUCUGAGAUAAUCCAGACUGGGCAAUGGAGUGGCCCAGACAAGGUGUUUCCCACCCUAUUCUAUGCAGCCAUGCUAGGUUGCUCUGCUCCACAGGGUUUGUGCUACUCUUUCGCUAUAUUCCAGAGCUCCCCCUUCGUUAUUUUAUUUGUCAUGUAGUUGUUUAUUCAUUAUUUUGUGAAAGAAAUGAGAAUUAGGACCUCCUUGUUUGAUAUCUUGCAGAUAUUAUUUCCUUUUUCUUCUUUUUGAAUAAACCCAAUUGAUAAAUGGUUUUGUUUUUUCACCUCUUCUUGAGGUAUAAACUACAUAUAGUACAUUAAAUUUUAGAAAUUGUAGCAUACAAUUUUUAUAUGUCUAUAUAC
rnacentral:lncRNA from 1 species